rnacentral:rRNA from 1 species
UACGGGAGGCAGCAGUGGGGAAUAUUGCACAAUGGGCGCAAGCCUGAUGCAGCCAUGCCGCGUGUGUGAAGAAGGCCUUCGGGUUGUAAAGCACUUUCAGCGAGGAGGAAGGGCGAGUGUGUUAAUAGCACAUUGCAUUGACGUUACUCGCAGAAGAAGCACCGGCUAACUCCGUGCCAGCAGCCGCGGUAAU